rnacentral:sRNA from 1 species
AGUGCUGGGUCUGAGCUGUCUGCAGAACUAGAACUCCCAUCUCCUCUCCUCCCCCUCUCACACUAGUUAGAAAUGUGCUCUGAUGAUGUGCCUCUCUAUGUGUUGCAGGCCUUUCUCUGUAGAACCAGCUGUUGGAACUCUUAAUGUGGGAGAGUCCAUGCAACUGGAAGUGGAGUUUGCGCCACAGAGUGUGGGCGAUCACAGUGGAAGACUUAUCGUGUGUUAUGACACAGGUGAAAAGGUGUUUGUAUCUCUCUAUGGAGCUGCUAUAGACAUGAAUAUAAGGCUGGAUAAGAAUUCCUUGACCAUCGAGAAAACCUACAUCUCUCUGGCCAAUCAGCGAACUAUAACCAUUCACAACCGCAGUAAUAUCAUUGCCCAUUUCCUGUGGAAAGUAUUUGCUACCCAGCAAGAAGAGGACAGAGAAAAGUAUAGGUGGAUGGCUCCAUUUGUUCCAGGCCAAGUGUGGACAUGGGAGUAUUUCUUCUAGCUCUGAAGACCAUGGCUCUUAGUUUUUAAUUUCCUCAGCAUUCAGUUGGCACCUCUUGUGGGUGCCAAAGGGAGCAGGUUACAGGCCUUGAGUACCUGAAGAUGAGGGACUAUUACUCGUUCAACCCUGCUGCACUGGAGACGCACGUCCUCCCCAUUGACUGUUAAAGGUGUUGGUAGCUACUAGACCAUUUGUAAAAUGGGUUAAGUUCAUGGUUUUACUGA